rnacentral:rRNA from 1 species
UAGGGAAUCUUCGGCAAUGGACGAAAGUCUGACCGAGCAACGCCGCGUGAGUGAAGAAGGUUUUCGGAUCGUAAAACUCUGUUGUUAGAGAAGAACAAGGACGUUAGUAACUGAACGUCCCCUGACGGUAUCUAACCAGAAAGCCACGGCUAACUACGUGCCAGCAGCCGCGGUAAUACGUAGGUGGCAAGCGUUGUCCGGAUUUAUUGGGCGUAAAGCGAGCGCAGGCGGUUUCUUAAGUCUGAUAUGAAAGCCCCCGGCUCAACCGGGGAGGGUCAUUGGAAACUGGGAGACUUGAGUGCAGAAGAGGAGAGUGGAAUUCCAUGUGUAGCGGUGAAAUGCGUAGAUAUAUGGAGGAACGCCAGUGGCGAAGGCGGCUCUCUGGUCUGUAACUGACGCUGAGGCUCGAAAGCGUGGGGAGCAAACAGG